rnacentral:lncRNA from 1 species
GUAGGUAAUUAAGUUUGAAUUAUCUUAUCAAAUAAAAAAUCUCAAUGAAAAGAGGAAUUGGGUCCAACCAUGUGCUAGCAAAGUUACCAUGAACCCAAUCGAAUUUUUCUAAACCCAAUUGACACUUCAUAAGUUCAAUUACUAAUUUCAGACCUAAUUCCUUUGUUGUGUGACCUCAUAGGUUCAAUUUUAUCUGAUAGUAAGAUAUUCAAUGAUCUCUAUCAAAGUAUCAUUGAAAUUUUUUUCAAUGGAUCGGAAUAAUUUCACUCUAACUUAUCAAGAAUUGUCGAUCCAGAACAAUCCUAGUGAGCUCUCAUAAUCCACCAGCGACACCUAGCAGUAUGUAGCAACCAGUAGAAUUGAAAUGAACCUCUAGAUGUAGUUAACGUAUGAUUCAGUCCUUCUAUCGUGAGUCCCGACUAGAUGGUAGGUCAUGAAUAAAUCAUCAAACCUCAUUAUCAGUCAUAUGAUAGAUUUAAUUAGCUCAAGUCUAGUUGUGACUUUUAUGGAAACUGUUUUCCAUCAAUCAUACUACUGUGGCCACAGAUUCUCAGACUUAGCUUCUCAAAUCUAACAGGACUACUCUUUUCUACCAAAGUUGAUAGAUCUUAUCUUGAUGUGCAUCCUACCCCUACAGUGGACUAACUGUGGCCAACAUCCACUACAAGGGCUCAUUGAGAUCCAUGUUUAUAUAUCAGUCAAACUCCAGCAGUCUCACUGUGGGUUGUAGUAUAAUCUUAGAUCAAAAGAUCAGUCACACAACUAUAGCAUCAAGAUGAUCACUGACGAUCGAAUAGAUCCAAGUGAUCUCUCGUAUGGUCAUGCCUAGUACUAGUUGUUCUCUAACAACUAUUCGCACUCGUCGUCCAGUAUCUCUACACUAUAGAUCAGAGACUCAUCUAUCCUGAAAGAAGUAAUCUAUACGCCAGUCUAUCCAGAUCGAUCACCAUCCUCAUGAUGAUUCCAUGAUCGAAAGUAUUUAAGAAUUAAAUACAUGUCUCUAAUUCUCAAUACCUUAAGAAUAUGUAUCAAAACUAAUUUCAUGGAUGAUUCAAAGACACAUCGCACUUG